rnacentral:hammerhead_ribozyme from 1 species
ACCCAGCUGACGAUUCCGAAAUAGGACGAUACGCGCGUCAAACUGGAU